rnacentral:rRNA from 1 species
AAUAUUGCACAAUUGGGGAAACGCUGAUGUAGCGACGCCUCGUGAGCGAAGAUGGCCNNNGGGUCNUNAAGCUUUGUCCGUAGNGANNCAACGGACGCUCCCUUAGGUGGUAGCCUCGGUUACCUCCGUGACAGCAGCCGCGGUAUUACGUUGGGGGCGAGCGUUAUCCGGAAUUAUUGGGCGUAAAGGGUGCGUAGGCGGCUUUUUAAGUCACAUGUAAAAGCCUACGGCUUAACCGUAGUUAGCAGUUGCAACUAAAAGGCUUGAGUGCAGGAGAGGGGAGUGGAAUUCCUAGUGUAGCAGUGAAAUGCGUAGAUAUUAGGAGGAACACCAGUGGCGAAGGCGACUCUCUGGACUGCAACUGACGCUGAGGCACGAAAGCGUGGGGAGCGAACA